UAAGUUUAAAGUUCAAAUUUAUAUUUCGAGAAAAUUAUUAAAAUCAGAAGUUGAAUAGUAAUAAAAAAAUUUUUUUACAAGUAGUUAGAUUUUCGUUCGUUGCAUUAUUCUUUAUUAAACCAUACAAAUUUCACGGAGUCUAUGCUUGUUCCACUAAUAUUGAGAAUGCAAAGAAACGAGCCACUUGCGUAAAAGGAUCUUCACAUAUAAAAUUAUGAUAUGCAUAUUUAAUAGCCAUAAAUAAACCCAAAAUGUGUUACACGAAAGGAAUAAAACGUACUAAGUAUUCCAUUCAGCGAUACUAAAAGAUCCACCAUUAUUUUUGAAGGAAACUGUCUUGUAACGUAUCUCUUGGGACGUCGUCUACCAUUUUCUUGAAAGGCUACAAAUAUUGAUAACACGUAUGAUCCAUACGAAAUGAAUGCUACAAAACAUGCUCACGAAAAGAAAUAUCGUUCAACGUUCAUAUCACGAUGAAUAUAAAGGGAUGUUAACGUCGCCUGAAAAAUCGAACGUUCCUGAAUUCGUUUCUUUCACAUCGUCUUUCACAUAGAACUCACAAACCUCGACGUACGUUUUUCCACUAACGUUUUCAGCGGUAAUUUACUAGGAAAAAUUACUCGGACGAUUCCUCUGGUCGAUUCAUAGUUUUUUUCCAUGUAAAAGGAAAAAAAAAAAAAAAGAAAGAAAGAAAAAAGAGAAAGGGUGAGAGAGGUUAGGAAGGAGGCGACUGAUAAGCUCAAAUGGAUCCCACUUUAUCAUGGUGAGAGAGUAGGGGUCAGAGUUACUCAGGAGGUUUAUCUAGGUAGUACAAGGGCUUACGAUGUCACGCGAUCCAAUUUGACAGUAUAAGUGACAGGAUAGAGCAUUUACUCGAGAUCAAAUAAGCCUAUAUGGAAUGACAUUUGGAAACAAGAAACCUGAUGUAAUGCGUAUUAACUUCGUAUGGUGAAACAAUCACUAUGCAACGUAUUAAUCAUGAUUAUUUACAUAUAUUUCUCUAUUUGUAAGUAUAUAAUAUAAUACUCCUUUUAGUUAAUAGACGAUAACGAAACAUUAUCAGAGAAGUGAUAAUUGAUUAGAAUGUCUGUACAAAAUGAUGUAAGAUAUAUAGUAAAAAUUUAAGAAUUUGUAAGAAUUAUAUAUGGAAAAAUUAUAGGAAUUAAUGAUGCAUUAACUGUUAGAAAACUACUAAAAAAGUAUUCAGUGAAGAAGUAAAAUCGAAUUUUCAUUAAAAAUGAAACGAAUACCGUAUAAUAAUAUAAAUUAUAAUAAUGAUAAUACUAAAUAGUAAGAUAAAAAUUUAAGUUUAUCUUGUUUUAUUCAAUACUUAUAGACAGGAGAGUAUAUUUUACUUUUCUUGACAUAUAAAUAUACCAUUAGUUUAUCUUUCCACGAAACCAUAGCUGCGAAUUUCAUUUUGAACUUCUAAGUCAAAUGUUUGUAAAGCCUUGCCACAAAAAACAGGGCUUCCAGAUUUAUCUCGAACUUCGAAAAUCAAAUAUUUAUACGAUCGUCCGUAAAAAUAGGAUUUCAACUUACUUUUCAGUUUCUAUUUAGCUUUUAUUUGUUCUACAAUUAUUUAGGUUCUAUUGUACUUUUACAUGAUAUUUUUGUUUCGUGAAAAGAUUAUGCACUCCAAUAGUUCAAAAUUUUGUAUAUCAUGUAAAGUUUUUAUCGAAGAAAAAAAAAAUAAAAAAUGAAAAUAUAAAAUCAUCGUUGAAAGUUUUUAUCAAAGUUAAAUUAAAUUAAAUUCACUGGAAGGUUGUAGGUUAGUUGUUUCUGUAUCUCUAUUAUUACUGACAUUGUCUCAUUUUCAGCAAGAAAAACGAGGAACACUGGCAACCUCACAAAAGGGUAUGAUGAGAACUAAUGAUAAUAGUAUCCUCGAAAAAGAGAGUUAAAAUACCAAGAUCAAAAAACAACUGUGAAGAAAAUGAAGAUUUAUAUAUUUAAAUAAUUUAAACAAAUUUUUCUUUUAUUUGACAUUUAUAUUUAGAUAAGUAUUUAUUGAAAUAUUAAGUAUGUCAGUUUUCGAUUCGAAAGUACACUUUUUUUUUUUUCAUACAUUUGAAAAUAAGAAUGUGCUAUCUUCUGGUCAUAAAAGAUUGUAGUGAGGAUUGCCUGUUAUAAAAUUCUUUUACCAACUAUUCAAUCAUUGGAAUUGAAAUUGGAGAUAGUUUUGACAGAUCGAUCAGGAACAAUUAACGAGUCAGCAUCGUUAAAGAAACAUGGUGCCAACAAAGCUUUUCAAAUAUUGCGAAAUUGGUCGAUAUCUCUACCUGUUGCAUCGUUUUAGUCGCUUACAAUACCUGACUGUGACAUCUGUGACGUUUCUUUUAUACGUUUAUUUUUCCGUAAAACUUGACGAGUAUCUUUUCUUAAGAAUAAUGUAUUCUUUUAUUAAAAAUAAAAUAAUCGAUGUGUUACAAUUUUAGCAAUAGCUACAAACAUUCGAUUUUUCGAAUUCUUUGAAUCAAAAACUCUUUUUUCGGAGGAAAAGAAAAUUGACGAUUGCUCUUCUUUAAUCGAAAGAAAAAGAAAAAAGAAAGAAACGAAGAAAAAGAGAGAUCUCUCAAUCUGAAUUUCGCAAAUGAAUGCAUCGAAUGCAUACGAUGCAUUAAGUCCCAACCGCAACGAAUGCAUUGUAAAGAGAGAGGGGAUGAAGGGUCGAGAGUGCUCUCGUUUGGAGUUUCCUCCUUUUAUCGGAAACGUUCGCGGUAUCCGAGUGAAAUGGGUUUUAGCCAAGUGCUACUAUAAAUUCUAUUUGUUCCAGUGAAAACAGUAAUACAUCAUGGCUUCUUACGGCAAUUAUGUCUGCGUCUGAUUAACCAUGUACGAUUAUGCAAAAGCUUCAAACAAGUAUAUAUAUUUCUGGAACAAAGAUCAUUGCACAACGAUUUUGAUAUAUCUCGUUAAUAAAAUGAGGAAACUCGAGCAGAAUUUAUUAGAAAAGCAAACGUUUUCAGAGUUUAUUUUACAAAUUGGAAGAUCUCAAUUUACUUUAUACUUUUAUAGUCAAAUUAAUUCAAGUUUUAUACGAUAGCAGCAAUAGCAGAUAAUUUAGAAAGUUAUGUCGUUUUGAAAAGGAAGGUAAAAUAUUUUAAAUAUAAUUAAAGAUUCUACGUAAACAAGAUUUAUUUUUCUUGGCGAAAAUACAAUUAUCUACUUUUUUUUUUUAUUAAUUCUCCGGCAAUGGCAGAUAGCAAACACGAUCUUUAAAAAAUUUCGAUCCAACUAGAGUCGUCUACUAUUUUAUACGAUACGAAUAAUUUUUUGGUUGGCUUUCCAUUUCUCCGAAUUUUUCCCCGAUAAGAACGUAUUCUGCCGUUGACAUAUUUGAUGUACGAGGGUAAGGCAUUCACCAGGAUAACCGGAAAAAAUUGUUGCAACGUAUUCUUCGGACCAUAUUACUUCCGGCAGUUUAUAAAAAAAAAAAAAGGAAAAAAAGA
rnacentral:lncRNA from 1 species